rnacentral:rRNA from 1 species
AUACGUAGGGGGCAAGCGUUAUCCGGAAUUACUGGGCGUAAAGGGUGCGUAGGUGGCCUGACAAGUCAGGGGUCAAAGGCAACGGCUCAACCGUUGUAAGCCCUUGAAACUGUCGGGCUUGAGUUCGGGAGAGGAAAGCGGAAUUCCUAGUGUAGCGGUGAAAUGCGUAGAUAUUAGGAGGAACACCAGUGGCGAAGGCGGCUUUCUGGACUGAUACUGACACUGAGGCACGAAAGCGUGGGGAGCAAACAGGAUUAGAUACCCUGGUAGUCCACGCCGUAAACGAUGAGUACUAGGUGUCGGCCCUAAGGGUCGGUGCCGCAGUUAACACAUUAAGUACUCCGCCUGGGAAGUACGCUCGCAAGAGUGAAACUCAAAUGAAUUGACGGGG